rnacentral:rRNA from 1 species
UACGUAGGCAGCAAGCGUUGUUCGGAAUUACUGGGCGUAAAGAGUGUGUAGGCGGUGUUCUAAGUGUGGUGUGAAAUCUCCCGGCUCAACUGGGAGGGUGCGCCGCAGACUGGAAUGCUAGAGUAUGGGAGAGGUAAGCGGAAUUCCUGGUGUAGCGGUGAAAUGCGUAGAUAUCAGGAGGAACACCUGUGGUGUAGACAGCUUACUGGACCAUGACUGACGCUGAGACACGAAAGCGUGGGUAGCAAACAGG